rnacentral:rRNA from 1 species
CCGCGGUAAAACGUAGGAGGCGAGCGUUAUCCGGAUUUACUGGGUGUAAAGCGCGUGUAGGCGGUCCUGCAAGUGGUGCGUGAAAGCUCCCGGCUCAACCGGGAGAGGCCGUUCGAAACUGGGCAGCUAGAGGGCAGCAGAGGGGCGUGGAAUUCCGGGUGGAGUGGUGAAAUGCGUAGAGAUCCGGAGGAACACCAGAGGCGAAGGCGGCGCCCUGGGCUGCACCUGACGCUGAGCCGCGAAAGCCAGGGUAGCGAACGGG